UCGAGAAUUUUUCUCAAUGGGCGAAAGCCUGAAGGAGCGACGCCGCGUGGGGGAUGAAUGGCUUCGGCCCGUAAACCCCUGUCAUUUGCGAACAAGUUGCUUCACUUAACACGUGAAGCAUUGAUUGUAGCGGAAGAGGAAGGGACGGCUAACUCUGUGCCAGCAGCCGCGGUAAUACAGAGGUCCCAAGCGUUGUUCGGAUUCACUGGGCGUAAAGGGUGCGUAGGCGGCUGAGUAAGUCUGGCGUGAAAUCUCCGAGCCCAACUCGGAAACUGCGUUGGAUACUAUUCAGCUCGAGGAAUGGAGGGGAGACUGGAAUACUUGGUGUAGCAGUGAAAUGCGUAGAUAUCAAGUGGAACACCAGUGGCGAAGGCGAGUCUCUGGACAUUUCCUGACGCUGAGGCACGAAAGCCAGGGGAGCAAACG
rnacentral:rRNA from 1 species